rnacentral:rRNA from 1 species
AACGAACGCUGGCGGCAGGCUUAACACAUGCAAGUCGAGCGCCCCGCAAGGGGAGCGGCGCACGGGAGAAUAACACGUGGGAACCUACCUUUUAGUUCGGAACAACACCGGGAAACUGGUGCUAAUACCGGAUACGUCCUUCGGGAGAAAGAUUUAUCGCUAAAAGAUGGGCCCGCGUUGGAUUAGCUAGUUGGUGAGGUAAUGGCUCACCAAGGCGACGAUCCAUAGCUGGUCUAAGAGGAUGAUCAGCCUCACUGGGACUGAGACACGGCCCAGACUCCUACGGGAGGCAGCAGUGGGGAAUAUUGGACAAUGGGGGCAACCCUGAUCCAGCCAUGCCGCGUGGAUGUUAAGGCCUUCGGGUUGUAAAGUCCUUUUGGCGGGGACGAUGAUGACGGUACCCGCAGAAUAAGAUCCGGCAAACUUCGUGCCAGCCGCCGCCGUAA